GUACUUAUACAUUCAUCACACUCUAUUUACUAAGGGUGCUCCGAUUGAUCGGUCACUGAUCGUUAUCGGCCGAUAAAGGCUUUAAAUAGUUUGAUCGGUGGUCUCCAUAAAGGCCGAUCAGAUGGGCCGAUGAGACGCACUACUCGUG